UACGAAGGGGGCUAGCGUUGUUCGGAUUUACUGGGCGUAAAGCGCACGUAGGCGGAUCGUUAAGUCAGGGGUGAAAUCCUGGAGCUCAACUCCAGAACUGCCUUUGAUACUGGCGAUCUUGAGUCCGGAAGAGGUGAGUGGAACUCCUAGUGUAGAGGUGGAAUUCGUAGAUAUUAGGAAGAACACCAGUGGCGAAGGCGGCUCACUGGUCCGGUACUGACGCUGAGGUGCGAAAGCGUGGGGAGCAACAGG
rnacentral:rRNA from 1 species